rnacentral:rRNA from 1 species
UUGGUUAAGUUAGAAAGGGCGCACGGUGGAUGCCUUGGCACUAGGAGCCGAAGAAGGACGGGACUAACACCGAUAUGCUUUGGGGAGCUGUACGUAAGCGUUGAUCCAGAGAUUUCCGAAUGGGGGAACCCACUAUCUUUAGUCGGAUAGUAUCCUUACGUGAAUACAUAGCGUGAGGAAGGCAGACCCAGGGAACUGAAACAUCUAAGUACCUGGAGGAAGAGAAAGAAAAAUCGAUUUCCUGAGUAGCGGCGAGCGAAACGGAAAGAGCCCAAACCAAGAAGCUUGCUUCUUGGGGUUGUAGGACACUCUAUACGGAGUUACAAAAGAAAGUUAUAAAUGAAGCGGUCUGGAAAGGCCCGCCAAAGACGGUAACAGCCCGGUAGUUGAAAUGGCUUUCCCUCCAGAGUGGAUCCUGAGUACGGCGGAACACGUGAAAUUCCGUCGGAAUCCGGGAGGACCAUCUCCCAAGGCUAAAUACUCCCUAGUGACCGAUAGUGAACCAGUACCGUGAGGGAAAGGUGAAAAGCACCCCGGAAGGGGAGUGAAACAGUUCCUGAAACCGUGUGCCUACAAGUAGUUAGAGCCCGUUAAUGGGUGAUAGCGUGCCUUUUGUAGAAUGAACCGGCGAGUUACGAUUUGUUGCAAGGUUAAGCGGAAAAAGCGGAGCCGUAGCGAAAGCGAGUCUGAAUAGGGCGCAUAAGUAACAGGUCGUAGACCCGAAACCAGGUGAUCUACCCAUGUCCAGGAUGAAGGUAAGGUAAUACUUACUGGAGGUCCGAACCCACGCACGUUGAAAAGUGCGGGGAUGAGGUGUGGGUAGCGGAGAAAUUCCAAUCGAACUUGGAGAUAGCUGGUUCUCUCCGAAAUAGCUUUAGGGCUAGCCUCGAGGUAAAGAGUCAUGGAGGUAGAGCACUGUUUGGACUAGGGGCCCUUCUCGGGUUACCGAAUUCAGAUAAACUCCGAAUGCCAUGUACUUAUACUCGGGAGUCAGACUGCGAGUGAUAAGAUCCGUAGUCGAAAGGGAAACAGCCCAGACCACCAGUUAAGGUCCCCAAAUAUAUGUUAAGUGGAAAAGGAUGUGGGGUUGCUUAGACAACCAGGAUGUUGGCUUAGAAGCAGCCACCAUUGAAAGAGUGCGUAAUAGCUCACUGGUCGAGUGACCCCGCGCCGAAA